ensembl:lncRNA
AGGCAGGUAGCCUAGUGGUUAGAGUGUAGAGGUGGCAGGUAGCCUAGUGGUUAGAGUGUAGAGGAGGCAGGUAGCCUAGUGGUUAGAGUGUAGAGGCGGCAGGUAGUCUAGUGGUUAGAGUGUAGAGGAGGCAGGUAGCCUAGUGGUUAGAGUGUAGAGGAGGCAGGUAGUCUAUUGGUUAGAGUGUAGAGGAGGCAGGUAGCCUAGUGGUUAGAGUGUAGAGGAGGCAGGUAGCCUAGUGGUUAGAGUGUAGAGGAGGCAGGUAGCCUAGUGGUUAGAGUGUAGAGGUGGCAGGUAGCCUAGUGGUUAGAGUGUAGAGGUGGCAGGUAGCCUAGUGGUUAGAGUGUAGAGGAGGCAGGUAGCCUAGUGGUUAGAGUGUAGAGGUGGCAGGUAUCCUAGUGGUUAGAGUGUAGAGGUGGCAGGUAGCCUAGUGGUUAGAGUGUAGAGGAGGCAGGUAGCCUAGUGGUUAGAGUGUAGAGGUGGCAGGUAGCCUAGUGGUUAGAGUGUAGAGGUGGCAGGGUAGCCUAGUGGUUAGAGUGUAGAGGCUGCAGGGUAGCCUAG